rnacentral:rRNA from 1 species
AUUGAACGCUGGCGGCAUGCUUUACACAUGCAAGUCGGACGGCAGCACAGAGAAGCUUGCUUCUUGGGUGGCGAGUGGCGAACGGGUGAGUAAUAUAUCGGAACGUACCGAGUAAUGGGGGAUAACUAAUCGAAAGAUUAGCUAGUACCGCAUAUUCUCUGAGGAGGAAAGCAGGGGACCUUCGGGCCUUGCGUUAUUCGAGCGGCCGAUAUCUGAUUAGCUAGUUGGUGGGGUAAAGGCCUACCAAGGCGACGAUCAGUAGCGGGUCUGAGAGGAUGAUCCGCCACACUGGGACUGAGACACGGCCCAGACUCCUACGGGAGGCAGCAGUGGGGAAUUUUGGACAAUGGGCGCAAGCCUGAUCCAGCCAUGCCGCGUGUCUGAAGAAGGCCUUCGGGUUGUAAAGGACUUUUGUCAGGGAAGAAAAGGCUGUUGCUAAUACCGACAGCUGAUGACGGUACCUGAAGAAUAAGCACCGGCUAACUACGUG